rnacentral:rRNA from 1 species
GAUGAACGCUGGCGGCGUGCCUAAUACAUGCAAGUCGAGCGAACGGACGAGAAGCUUGCUUCUCUGAUGUUAGCGGCGGACGGGUGAGAAACACGUGGAUAACCUACCUAUAAGACUGGGAUAACUUCGGGAAACCGGAGCUAAUACCGGAUAAUAUUUUGAACCGCAUGGUUCAAAAGUGAAAGACGGUCUUGCUGUCACUUAUAGAUGGAUCCGCGCUGCAUUAGCUAGUUGGUAAGGUAACGGCUUACCAAGGCAACGAUGCAUAGCCGACCUGAGAGGGUGAUCGGCCACACUGGAACUGAGACACGGUCCAGACUCCUACGGGAGGCAGCAGUAGGGAAUCUUCCGCAAUGGGCGAAAGCCUGACGGAGCAACGCCGCGUGAGUGAUGAAGGUCUUCGGAUCGUAAAACUCUGUUAUUAGGGAAGAACAUAUGUGUAAGUAACUGUGCACAUCUUGACGGUACCUAAUCAGAAAGCCACGGCUAACUACGCG